GCAGCACCCUGGAGGCCCAGGGCCGGCGGGGCGGCGGCUCAGGGGAUCCCGGGCGCGGCCUACAACUGGGACAAGGAGCAGGAACCCAGGGGUGUACUCCUAACUUCCUGCCUCGGACUUGUUUUCCCAACAAGGAAUGGUGAAAAUGGAACUCAAGGGCUUUACCCGCCACUCUUCACUGGUUUGUUUCCAUGGGGUUGGGGUGCAGGAGGGGCUGGCCUGUGGCUGGGGGGCUAUUUUUAGCGGCAGCAGCAUUCGGGUACAGAGAUAGCUGAGUAACCAGCUCCCAAGCAGAGGAGAGGAGGCGGUGGCUUUUGGGAAGCUCUGCAGACUCUGGGGGCGAGCUGCUCCCCACACUCAAGUGACCCUUCUACCUUUAACUCCUGUCUUUGAAGGGCUGCAGCCCAGAGCUGAUGGAGAUGCGCAGAGGUCUGUUUUGCUCACCGGGGCUGCUCUACCACUCUCAUUCUAGAUACUUGUCCUUGGGCACACGUGGAAACCGCCCCCCCCCAGCAGGCUUCCUCCCCAAUCCAGAAGCCAAAACUGGGGGUUAUGCUGUUCUGUGCCCACACAGCCCUGCCCAGCCUUCUGGAGCACUUGCACCCGAGCAGAGGAGGAUGGAGGAGUGCUGUACUCCCUAGGCAGUGGAGUCCCUUAGCAACUGCAGAUAAAAGUGGUCUCCAUUUCCCCGUGUAGGGGAAUGCCCAGUUCACCAAAUGCCUCGUUCACGCAGUCCCUGUGUGAAGUACAGAUCACCUUCUGGGUUCAUCCUGUCUAGGGGGUUGUUGCCUGCAUCCACAAGAUCGCUCCUGUAAGCCCUACCAGGUGUCCCCUGAUUCACCAUGGUAAUGUUAGUGGCAGCACAGCCCACGCCAACCCUUCCAUGCAGAGACUUAGCAACCAUGCCUGGCAACCAUGGGAGCAGCUCCAGUGGAAGGGAGGGGUACAGGGAGAGGGAACAGUAUGGCAAUGGCUCCUCAGGAAAAAGGGAUAAUUUGCCUCCCCUCAGAGGGAUAGGUAAAAUUAGAAGCCUGUGAGCUCCCAAAUUCAUCCUUUGUUUUUCUCAGUUCUGUCCUCAGACUGCAACUGACUGGCUAGGAAAAAUGUACAUGUAGUCCUUUGGGUAUGGACCCUUCCCUUUAAGGCGCCAGAAGUGUUGUGGAGCUGGGACAGGACUUACUAAAAACAGUGUAAAACCCUGACCUUCUGCUCUCACAUGGGCCCUCAGAGAAACCAUAACCAUCCCUGUCCCCUCUGCUUCCUCCUUCAUUCCAUGUACCUACCGAACUGUACCUACCAACCGCAUGGGUGGCUCUGCUUCAAGAUGCCUCCACCUACCCUGGACCCCACUGGAAUCCUGCAGCUUAUGAAAUCCCUGCCGACUCCUGGACAAAUCCUCCCUCAUGACAGAAUGUGACAUGAGGCGCCUGCCCUUUCCACCACGCACCCACCCACGCUGUCCCUCCUCCAGCUUUGGGAAUGUGCUGGGUAAGCUAGGAGGAGGUAAGCACAGAGACAGGACCCUUAGUGUGUGCAGCAGGGAAAGCUCAGCUCUGACAAGUGCCUGGCUGUGUUCACUAUGUUCCAUCCAGAAGCCUCAUUCGUAGGAACCUGUCUGUGGCUAGAAGUUCAUUAGAAGGUUUGGGCACGAUGGAGGCAGGGAGGCCAUGACACCGCUCUGAAGCUGCUGAAGGCAAUGAGGUGAUACUCAGCUCCCAGCUGAAGGUUUCCACACGGAAUGGCUCUGAUGGUAUGGCCAUGGUCCUGCUGACCCCUACCCCCUACUCUCCAAUUUAUUCUUACCCUGGAGGAAAGGCAGUGGACAAUGAUUAUAAAGCCAGAUACUACCAGCCCAGCAAAAUCCAACCACAGCCCUGCAUUCCCUAAGGCCACCUUUGGGUGGGUGUUCUCUGCCCAAACAGGACCCUGCACCUGUCCUCUGGAGACUGGGGAAGUUUUCCUGUGGCCCAGGCAGAGGAGAAAGCGAGAAAAAGGGAAACUACAAGGACUCCAGCGGAUUUGCCAUGAAAAUAACCUUGGCUCACCACUCUGCCCUCCUCCUCCACCUAGCAUCUUCCUUCAUAUGUACACAGCACAGGAAUCC